rnacentral:rRNA from 1 species
GACGAACGCUGGCGGCGUGCUUAACACAUGCAAGUCGAGCGGUAAGGCCCUUUCGGGGGUACGACGAGCGGCGAACGGGUGAGUAACACGUGGGUGACCUGCCCUCAGCUCUGGGAUAAGCCCCGGGAAACUGGGUCUAAUACCGGAUAUGACUUCAUGACGCAUGUUGUGGAGUGGAAAGCCUUGUGCGGCUGAGGAUGGGGCCCGCGGCCCUAUCAGCUUGUUGGUGGGGUGANGGCCUACCAAGGCGACGACGGGUAGCCGGCCUGAGAGGGCGACCGGCCACACUGGGACUGAGAUACGGCCCAGA